AUUGAACGCUGGCGGCAUGCCUUACACAUGCAAGUCGAACGGCAGCAUGAUCUAGCUUGCUAGAUUGAUGGCGAGUGGCGAACGGGUGAGUAAUACAUCGGAACGUGCCCUGUAGUGGGGGAUAACUAGUCGAAAGAUUAGCUAAUACCGCAUACGACCUGAGGGUGAAAGUGGGGGACCGCAAGGCCUCAUGCUAUAGGAGCGGCCGAUGUCUGAUUAGCUAGUUGGUGAGGUAAGGGCUCACCAAGGCGACGAUCAGUAGCUGGUCUGAGAGGACGAUCAGCCACACUGGGACUGAGACACGGCCCAGACUCCUACGGGAGGCAGCAGUGGGGAAUUUUGGACAAUGGGCGAAAGCCUGAUCCAGCAAUGCCGCGUGUGUGAAGAAGGCCUUCGGGUUGUAAAGCACUUUUGUCCGGAAAGAAAUGGCUCUGGUUAAUACCUGGGGUCGAUGACGGUACCGGAAGAAUAAGAACCGGCUAACUACGUG
rnacentral:rRNA from 1 species